rnacentral:rRNA from 1 species
GUCCACGCUGUAAACGAUGAUAACUAGGUGUUGGAGGUAUUGACCCCUUCAGCGCCGCAGCUAACGCAUUAAGUUAUCCGCCUGGGGAGUACGGUCGCAAGACUAAACUCAAAGGAAUUGACGGGGCCCGCACAAGCGGUGGAGUAUGUGGUUUAAUUCGACGCAACGCGAAGAACCUUACCUGGGUUAGAAAUCAACCAGAAGGUCUGUAGAGAUAUGGAUCGUCCCCGCAAGGGGACUGGUUGACAGGUGCUGCAUGGCUGUCGU